CCUACGGGAGGCAGCAGUGAGGAAUAUUGGUCAAUGGCCGAGAGGCUGAACCAGCCAAGUCGCGUGAGGGAAGACGGCCCUACGGGUUGUAAACCUCUUUUGCCGGGGAGCAAAGAGAGUCACGUGUGACUCAUUGAGAGUACCCGAAGAAAAAGCAUCGGCGAACGCCGUGCCAGCAGCCGCGGUAAUACGGGGGAUGCGCGCGUUAUACGGAUUUAUUGGGUGUAAAGGGUGCGCAGGCGGAGGUGCAAGUCAGCGGUCAAAUUGCGGGGCUCAACCCCGUACUGCGGUUGAAACUGCAUCCCGGGAGUGCGCGAGAGGUAGGCGGAAGGCGGGGUGUAGCGGUGAAAUGCGUAGAUAUCACGCAGAA
rnacentral:rRNA from 1 species